rnacentral:sRNA from 1 species
CUUCGGUACUCCAUGUAUUACUACGCGG